rnacentral:tRNA from 1 species
UCCAGGGUAGCCGAGUGGACACGGCACCUGCCCGGUAAGCAGAAGGGUGUGGGUUCGAUUCCCGCCCCUGGAC